rnacentral:rRNA from 1 species
GACGAACGCUGGCGGCGCGCCUAACACAUGCAAGUCGAACGGAACUUAAGAGAGCUUGCUUUCUUAAGUUUAGUGGCGAACGGGUGAGUAACGCGUGAGUAACCUGCCCUGGAGUGGGGGACAACAGUUGGAAACGACUGCUAAUACCGCGAUAAGCGCACAGUAUCGCAUGAUACAGUGUGAAAAACUCCGGUGGUAUAAGAUGGACCCGCGUACUGAUUAGCUUGUUGGCGGGGUAACCGGCCCACCAAGGCGACGAUCAGUAGCCGGCCUGAGAGGGUGACGGCCACAUUGGGACUGAGACACGGCCCAA